rnacentral:rRNA from 1 species
UACGUAGGGUGCGAGCGUUGUCCGGAAUUAUUGGGCGUAAAGAGCUUGUAGGCGGUUUGUCGCGUCUGCUGUGAAAAUCCGGGGCUCAACCCCGGACUUGCAGUGGGUACGGGCAGACUAGAGUGUGGUAGGGGAGACUGGAAUUCCUGGUGUAGCGGUGAAAUGCGCAGAUAUCAGGAGGAACACCGGUGGCGAAGCGGGUCUCUGGCCGAUACUGACGCUGAGGAGCGAAAGCGUGGGGAGCGAACAGG